CACGUAGGGGGCAAGCGUUAUCCGGAAUUAUUGGGCGUAAAGAGCUCGUAGGCGGUUUGUCGCGUCUGCCGUGAAAGUCCGGGGCUCAACUCCGGAUCUGCGGUGGGUACGGGCAGACUAGAGUGAUGUAGGGGAGACUGGAAUUCCUGGUGUAGCGGUGAAAUGCGCAGAUAUCAGGAGGAACACCGAUGGCGAAGGCAGGUCUCUGGGCAUUAACUGACGCUGAGGAGCGAAAGCAUGGGGAGCGAACAGG
rnacentral:rRNA from 1 species